rnacentral:rRNA from 1 species
AGAACGAACGCUGGCGGCAUGCCUAAUACAUGCAAGUCGAACGAACUCUUCGGAGUUAGUGGCGCACGGGUGCGUAACGCGUGGGAAUCUGCCCUUGGGUUCGGAAUAACAGUUGGAAACGACUGCUAAUACCGGAUGAUGACGAAAGUCCAAAGAUUUAUCGCCA